GACGUAGGGCGCGAGCGUUGUCCGGAUUUAUUGGGCGUAAAGAGCUCGUAGGCGGCUCAUCGCGUCUGCCGUGAAAACCCGCAGCUCAACUGCGGGCUUGCGGUUGAUACGGGUGGGCUGGAGUUCGGUAGGGGAGACUGGAAUUCCUGGUGUAGCGGUGAAAUGCGCAGAUAUCAGGAGGAACACCCGUAGCGAAGGCGGCACACUGGGCCGGUACUGACGCUGAGGAGCGAAAGCAUGGGGAGCGAACAGG
rnacentral:rRNA from 1 species